rnacentral:rRNA from 1 species
UACGUAGGUCCCGAGCGUUGUCCGGAUUUAUUGGGCGUAAAGCGAGCGCAGGUGGUUUAUUAAGUCAGGUGUAAAAGGCAGUGACUCAACCAUUGUAUGCAUUGGAAACUGGUAGACUUGAGUGCAGGAGAGGAGAGUGGAAUUCCAUGUGUAGCGGUGAAAUGCGUAGAUAUAUGGAGGAACACCGGUGGCGAAAGCGGCUCUCUGGCCUGUAACUGACACUGAGGCUCGAAAGCGUGGGGAGCAAACAGG